rnacentral:rRNA from 1 species
UACGAAGGGGGGCUAGCGUUGCUCGGAAUCACUGGGCGUAAAGGGCGCGUAGGCGGCGUUUUAAGUCGGGGGUGAAAGCCUGUGGCUCAACCACAGAAUGGCCUUCGAUACUGGGACGCUUGAGUAUGGUAGAGGUUGGUGGAACUGCGAGUGUAGAGGUGAAAUUCGUAGAUAUUCGCAAGAACACCGGUGGCGAAGGCGGCCAACUGGACCAUUACUGACGCUGAGCGCGAAAGCGUGGGGAGCAAACAGG